rnacentral:tmRNA from 1 species
GGGGCUGACUGGUUUUGACAGCGGGUAGAAGAGAUAAGUAAGCAUGUCGGGCUUUGAUCGUUGGCCCGUAAAUCUUAAUGAUCAAAACCAUAAUUGGCGAAAACAAUUACGCUCUUGCUGCGUAACCGAAUCAAGUAGGUUACACUUUAUCCCGGUACUAGGUACUGGGACGAGACAUCGCCCGGAUGCUAUUGCUUUGAAGCGGUCCGGUUCGGCGGUGCAAGUAAAUCGAAGCUAGUUGAAAUGAGGCUCUGGCAUUUCGGCGAAAUAAAAGAGAUAAGGUAGUAGUUGGUGGCUUUGAUCCGGGUGCUAUUCGAAAAUUAAAUCAGAGAUAAACAUGUAGAAAGCUUAUAGCUUCCUCGUUUGGACGCGGGUUCGACUCCCGCCAGCUCCACUU